rnacentral:lncRNA from 1 species
GCCCGCCCCUCGCAGCCUUGCCGCGCCCCGUGCGCCCUGUCCGCCCCUCGCUCGCAUUGCAGGCAUCCUGAGUCUCGGCCCUUUUCGCCAAAUCGCUGCUCUGCCGCGCGCCUACGCAAGGAAAGAUUCAAGGGUCCCUCCACUUCAGGGAGUGGAGCCCGCGCCUCGGCACGGAUCAGCUGUGCGUCUCCUUUGGCCUACUGGCUCCUCUGCUUGUGUCUAUAGCUAGCUGGACGCAUCGUGACUUUAUCUUCUCAUCUUUCCUGGCGCCCCCAGACGCAUUUCCUGGUCCCUCGAGGCAGCGGCGUCUGGGGAGUGCACUUUGCACAGACAGGGAAACCGAGGCACUCAGCGGUCUCCAAUGGAGACGCUGUAAUCGCAUUCCACGACCAGCUAGCGCUAUAAGCGCUGCCUCUAAAGCGGAAGGCCUCCCAGUCCUUCUCGACAGGAAGCAAUAUUUGCAUAUCUAAGGAGAACAAGAUUCGGCAAUGUGCUCCGGGAGCAAGUGCAGGCAUGGAACGGUAUGGGCUGGAGGGGGACAGACCUUCAGAGGCGGCUGCCCGUUCCCUGUAGUGUCACAUCACAAGUCCAACUUGGCAUGGCUGCUGCAUACUUUGCUCAGGAUGUCCGAGGCAAAAGGCAAGAUAAGAUUUUUAGAAGAUAGGAGUUUUCACAGUGGCGGCAGAGCCCUCUGCUAAAUCCUCAUAUUAGAUGUCAAAGGUGGCAUGUCAUUUGACCCAAUGGCUUUUUUAGUCAUUUAUCUUCCUAACACCUAUGAGAGGUAAGACAUAGCUCCCUUACCCAUGAGCAAACUGAGGCCAAGGAAAAGGAAUUGGCCAGUUUCCCAGCUCACAAAGCUCUGUGGGAGCUGGUGUUUUGUUUGGAACUUCUGCUUGUCCAAUCUGUCAGUCACGGUUCGUGGCCACCGUGGAACACCCAACACAGCAACUUCCGCCCUUAAUUAUAUUGAGCCAUGAAAAAGUGUGAUUGAAACCUACUGUCUGAAUCAGAUCUUUGCAAUGAUUAACCCCAGAAAAUGAUCUGCAAAAUGCGUUUACAGAAACAUGCAGCUGCUCUCAAACACACUGGAGGAAAUUUGGGAGCUGCUGCUCUUGUCCAAGGGCACUAACCCAUCCCUGAUGAGACUGAGCUCCAGGCUGGGGCAGAGAUGCUAGGCUGUCAUACUCAGAGACAUGGCCUCUCAAAGUGAGGUCAAGAGGCCACCUAUCCAGAAUUGCCUGUGGUGCUUAUUAAAAUGCAGAUUCCUGGGUCUCAUCCUAGAACUAGUAAAUCAGAAUCCCUGGGGGUGGUCCAGGAAUCUGCAUUUAAAGUAGGGAUUCUUAUGCACACUAAAGGUUGGCCCUAACUGUACUAGGAGGAAAGAACCAGAGACAAGAAUGCUCAUAGCCCAAAUGUUCUUUAGCCGUCUUGGCCCCAUAGAUGGCAGUGAUACAUAUAUCACAUGCAUACACAAGAGGAUGAUGGUAACAUAUGACAGGCGAGAAAGAGUUGCCCCUGGGAAGAAAGAGAAAGAAAGACAGGGCAGAGUAGAGAAGGAACUACUCACUCAUUAUCCUCUUUAGAAUCUCAUAUUUUUGGUGGAAGCAUAGGUUACAAAGAUGAUAACAUAGAAAUGUUUAGGUAAGAGAGUCUAAGGUAGCAGUGACUUCAGUCUCCUGAAAGACAUUCUGCAAGAUAUUUAGCAUUCUUAGCCUUUUUUUUGAGACCGAGUCUCACUCUGUCACCCAGGCUGGAGUGCAGUGGCACGAUCUCGGUUCACUGCAACCUCCGCUUCCUGGGUUCAAGUGAUUCUCACUGCCUCAGCCCCUCAAGUAGCUGGGAUUACAGGCACGCACCACCACACCUAGCUAAUUUUUGUAUUUUUUUUUUUUUUUUUUUUUUAGUAGAGACAGGGUUUCACCAUGUUGGCCAGCCUGGUCUCAAACUCCUGAUCGCAAGUGAUCCGCCUACCUUGGCCUCCUAAAGUGCUGGGAUUACAGGCGUGAGCCACGUCUUUGUUCCAGCAAAACCAACCUAGUCCCUGAUUCACAAAUCAUCCUGGGAGUGUACAGCACUUACAGCCAGAAAGAAGUCUCUGGAGCAAAAAGCAUUGCAUAUUCAAUGGUCUAUGACAUCACCAUCGAAGACUCUGUCAAAAGGGGUUUUGUUUGAUUAAUUUUCAUUAUCUGUUGUUACCCAACUAAUGAAAGGUGAUACUAUUAAUGAGUGUGUGAACGAGACAGUGUCUUCGUUACCACCUCUGAAACACUCCCAGCUUUUUCAGGGACGAAUAGCCCUGACCCAAAGUGUGUCCUUUCUUCAUUGUAGGGAGAUACAAACUGUUUCUCUCCAAGUACUCCAACACCAAUUAUUGUGUGUCACAACCGAGAACACAAUAUGAGGCUUGUGCUUGAAUUACUGCUGUUUUAUGUGCCAAAAAAAAUGCUAGCUUUCUUUUUUCAGUGAAGUUGAUAGAGUUGGAAGACAUUUUAAUACCACAUUUAUUGGUUUGAAAGCAUGAUUGUUUUAGUAGCUGGUGCAAAUUUCAAGGAACACAUAACUCCCUUUAAGAAAUAUUGUUUCUAAGAAAUUACAUUUGACUAAAUUUGGAAGCUUUAAUGCAAAUAACUUUCAAACAAUGAAACCAUAUUCACAAGGAGAUGCUUUUAUUUUCUCCACUGAGGAAGAAAUGGAGACAUGUUUCCUAUUGUCGUUAUGUCCAUCUGGACAGAAAAGGAAGUCUGUGGGCUAGACAAGCAAAAAUAGGUUACAUCUGGGUAGCCCAGCAGUCUCUCCCUGACUGCUGAAGAAGCUCCUCUUUGUUUCAUUCCUGAAGCACGGCGUUGUUUUCUUGGACCCGUGCAUCAAGUUAAACCUGAGUUAGACUAUGGAUCCCUUGCACUUGAUUUUAUGAUUGUAAGACUUACACAAAUGCAAGCCUAGAACACAAUUGAACUCUUAUUUGCUUACAUCUCCAUGAACAGGAAAGAAGCCACUUGAUCUUCUAAAAGUUUUGCCCGGUUGCUUUCUCUUUUAUACCUAUUGUUAAGCUAUAAAAUGAAAUCACCAAAUUAUCAAUCUGCGAGUAUUUGCUACUUCGCAAUAUAUAUUUAAGAAUUUUACAAAACAAAACUGUGCCAUAAAAAGUAUUUCAUCCAUAUGAUCUUACAGUUCCACUUCUAAGAAUGCAUAUACCCAAAAGAAUUGAAAGCAAGAUCUCAAAGAUAUUUGUAUACCUGUGUUCGUAGCAGAUUAUCCACAAUAGCUAAAGGUGGAAGCAAGCCAAGCGUCUAUCAAUGUAUGAAUGGAUAAGUACAAUGUGGUAUACACAAACAAUGAAUUGUCAUUCAGCCUUAAAAAGGAAGGAUAUUCUGGGCUGGGCGCGGUGGCUCAAGUCUGUAAUCUCAGUACUAUGGGAGGCCGAUAGAGGUGGAUCACCUGAAGUCAGGAGUUCAAGACCAGUCUGACCAACAUGGUGAAACCCUGUCUCUACUAAAAAUCCCAAAAAAAAAAAAAAAAAAUAGCCAGGUGUGGUGGCAGGCACCUGUAAUCUCAGCUACUCAGGUGGCUGAGGCCAGGGAAUCGCUUGAACCUGGAAGGUGGAGGUUGCAGCAAGCCGAGAUUGCACCACUGCACUUCAGCCUGGGUGACAGAGUGAGACUUUGUCUCAAAAAAGAAGGAGAUUCUGACACAUGCUAUAACAUGGAUGAACCUUGAGGACAUUAUGGUAAGUGAAAUAACCCAUUCAGAAAAUAGACAAAAUCUGUAUGACUCUACUUAUAUAAGAUAUCUAGAUCAAAUUCAAGAGACAGAAAGUAGGAUGAUGGUAAUCAGGGGCUGGAGGGAAGGAGGAAUGUUACUGUUUAAUGGCAUAAAGUUUCAGUUUUGUGAAGUGAAAAGAGUUCUAGAGAUGGACUGUGGUAUUGGUUGCACAGCAAUGUAAACAUACUUAAUGCCAUUGAAAGUGUCACUUAAAAAUAGUUAAGAUGGUAAGUUUUAUGUUAUGUGUAUUUUACCAUAAUUUAAAAUAAUAAUUUUUGAAAGUAUUUCAGAUUUUAUGCCAAAGUUCUUAUUAAGGGAACUUUCAAUUUUUUCAAAAAAGUUUAAAAUACUUUCCACCUAAUUUUCAAAGUAAAUACAACUUUCAAAUUAAAUACAGGGAAUUUAAUUAAUUCCCUGGGACUUUCAGGAAACCAAACUUCUGAGCACUGUUUAUUUGAAGAAAGCCUUCCUUUUUCCCUCUCCUUUCGCAUAAUUUCUCCCUAGUGCUGUAUGUUGGUCAGCUUUGUUAGCUAUUUAUUUGUGCUGGUCUGUGGCUUUAUUGCUCUGGUCUUUAUCAGAAACUUAGGUAAAUAUUUGCAACCUUGACAAAUGAUGCUUGGAUACUGAUAAGUCUUUACAUUAAGAAGGAUAUUCUUAAUAAAAUUAAUGUUCUACUUAGUUCACAAAGCUGUACACAGGAUAAAUAGCACAAGGCCUGCCGAAGUGCCUGGAGACAGUAGACAUGAACACAUGUUGUCCUAGUAGAUAUUUGCUUAUCAAGCACCAGCAAACAAUAGAGCUGGAGGGACCCAAAGAGAGCCUAAUCUCUGUCCUCUAGAGCACUAGGUUUCUAAGCAGGUCAUUUAAAAGUGACAGAAAACAUGGCUGUAAACCCCUAUUUCUAUAACAGCUAGUAAAGCACUUGCACAUAUUUAUAUAUUGGAACUCUGUUCACCCCAAAAAAGGUUUAAAUCCCUUUGACCAUGAAAAUUGGUUGCUUAUGACUUCAAACUAUACUACAGGGCUACAGUUACCAAAAUGGCAUGGUACUGGUACAUAAACAGACACACAGACCAAUGGAACAGAAUAGAGAACCCAGAAAUAAGACUGCACACCUACAACUGUCUGAUCUGUGACAAACCUGAUGAAAACAAGCAAUGGGAAAAGGUUCCCUAUUCAACAAAUGGUGCUGGGAUAACUGGAUACUCAUAUACAAAAGACUGAAACUGGACUUUUUCCUUAACCAUAUACAAAAAUUAACUCAAAGUGGAUUAAGGACUUAAAUGUAAAACCCAAAACUGUAAAAGCCUGGAAGACAACCUAGGCAAUACCAUUCAGGACAUAGACACAGACAAAGAUUUCGUGACAAAAAUGCCAAAAGCAAUUGCAACAAAAGCAAAAAUUGACAAAUGGAACCUAAUUAAACUACAGAGCUUCUGCACAGCAAAAGAAAUUAUCAACAGAGUAAACAGAUAACCUACAGAAUGGGAGAAAUUUUUUGCAAACAGUGCAUCGACAAAGAUCUAAUAUCUAGCAUCUAUAAAGAACUUAAACAAAGUUGCAAGAAAAAAAAAUCACCCCAUUAAAAACUGGGCAAAGGACAGGACAUGAACAGACACUUUUCAAAAGAAGACAUACAUUUGGCCAACAAUUAUAUGAAAAAAGCUCAACGUCACUGAUCAUUAGAGAAACUCAAAUCAAACCACAAUGAGAUACUGUCUCAUACCAGUCAGAAUGGCUAAUAUGAAAACGUCCAAAAAUGACAGAUGCUGGUGAGGUUGUGGAGAAAGGGAACACUUUACACGGUUGGUGAGAGUGUAAAUUAGUUCAGCCAUUGUGGAAGACAGUGUGGUGAUUCUUCAAAGACCUAAAGACAGAAAUACCAUUCCAUUCAGCAAUCCCAUUACUGGGUAAUAUACCCAAAGGAAUAUAAAUCAUUCUGUCAUAAAGAUGCAUGUGUGUAUGUUUACUGCAGCACUAUUCACAAUAGCAAAGACAUGGAAUUAACCUAACAUCAAUGGUAGACUGGAUGAAGAAAAUGUGGUACAUAUACAUUGUGGAGUACUAUGCAGCCAUAAAAAAGAACAAGAUCAUUUACUUUGCAGGGGCUUCAAUGGAGCUGGAGGCCAUAUCCUUAGCAGCUAAUGCAGCAACAGAAAACCAAAUAUUGCAUGUUCUCACUUAUAAGUGAGAGUCAAAUGAUGAGAACACAUAUAGGGAAACAACACACACUGAGGCCUAUUUGAGGGUAGAGGGUGGAAGGAGGGAGAGGAUCAGGAAAAAUAACUAAUGGGUACUGGGCUUAAAUACCUGGGUGAUGAAAUAAUCUGUACAACAAACCCCCAUGACACGAGUUUACCUAUGUAACAAACCUGCACAUGUACCCUUGAACUUAAAAUAAAAAUUUAAAAAAAGAAAAUAGGUUGCUUGACUCUGCACCUUUCCUUCUCUGCUUCUCACUUCCCAACUGUUCUAAUUUCAUAUGGGAAUCCAUGCAGUUAUGGAGAAUCCACCUUCAGCAAUGGGAAUGAACCUAGCACCACAUGACCUGGGCUGGAUCAAUCAUCACAUACUAUCCCCUGACCCAGUGAUUGGUUCAGGGAUGGACAUGUGACCUAAGAGAGUGUGGUUAGAGUAAACCUCAGGACUUCUGCUGAUAACAUUGGCAAAAAGAUUUUUUUUUUAAAUGA